UUCCGGUCUGAUUUAAAUUGCUGUGGUAUUUUGAAAGCUAUACAAAGGUAUUGUAAUAAGAUUUUAAUUAAAAAAGAAUGCUAAAAGAAUGGAAAUUUAAAAAAAAACUUUUUUAAUAAGAUCAAAUAAAAAUUGAAUUUUUUUUAAUUUGUGCAAAAACAAUUAUGUUAUUAUUAAAGACAAGAAGACCCUAAGAAUUUAUGAUUUUGUUAAAAUUAAAAAAUUUUUUCAAAAAAAUCUUGAUUGGGGCGAUCAAAAAAUAUUAACAACUUUUUAAAUUUAAAUUGAUCUAUUAUUAAUAAAACUAAUGAAUUAAAUACUCUACGGGAUAACAGAAUAGUCGUAAUAAUUUUUUGAUAGAUCUUAUUGUACAAAAUAGUUUGCGACCUCGAUGUUGGAUUAGGAUUCUUUUUUAAUGAAGAAGUUAAAAAAAGAAGUUUGUUCAACUUUUAAAU
rnacentral:rRNA from 1 species